AUUUAUAAAAGCGCUUCCUGCAGCAGUUAUGUAUAGAUUGGUAUAAAUAUAAAUGUAUAAAGUAUACGUUUACAAAGUUGUCUGUAAACAAAGUGUAAUAAUAUUUACCGUGUAUUGGAUUGUAUAUAACGACGGAAAUAAAGAAUAAUAAGAAAAAGUAAGAUAUUAUUAAAAGUCGCUCUUAUUAAUAGAUAUAAAUAAUAGUUGAAUAACCUUUUCAUAAGAUUGCUAAAGAUAACCUCAAAAGAAAAUACAACUUUUUUGCAAAGUUUAACGAUAAAUUAUAUUACAAUUUUAAAUUAACAUCAAAUUUUGAGCUACACACAUCUUAGUAAUUAAAUCUGUAUGGUGUUAUCCGUUUUUACUUUAAGGUGAUUUAUACUUCGUGUUUAUUACAAAUUUUUGCAGUCAUCAUAGAGAACAUACAGAAUUAACAUUUAAGUUUGGAACGUUAGUUCAAAUGCCUGAUUACUCAGCCAAGGGAUGCAGAAACAAGUCAAAGAGUGGCCAUAGUUGUACACACAGAUCUGUUAACUGCUGUAAAGGAGAUAAGGUUCUUAAUGUUGCAAGAUGUACUUUACCAAUCGGCCACCAUUGAACACUGCGAUCGAGUAGCUAGGAUUUUGUGUUUGGCGCCAUUCUUCGGUGAAAGCACUAAAGAUACAUCUACAAUACUCCAUUUAUUACAGAAAGCAUUGUUUAAAUGAAUAUUAAUUAUGAACCAUUAUUAAACAUGCAUUAUUAUUACCAACAAACAAGUUUAACAAGACCACAAUUUUCAAAUUAAAUAUGUACACAUAUCUUUAAUGCUUUUACAUUUGACGCAUAUAUUGGAAAAACAUACAACGAGUAGAUAUUACGGAAUCAGAUCCAACAGCAAACAAUACAAUAUGUAUAGAACUCUAAUCAUGGAAACACCAACACCUUUGGUAGCCGAAGUUAUGCACAAGUAACUAACCAAUCGCCACCCUUAACACCAACAUAGCCAAAUCCAUCAGUAAUACGCUCAAGCAACCACCGUUACAAUACUAACUAACGGCAAUUACUUCCAGAUGUAGCAGUAUAUGCACCACUGCGAACAGGCAGUACAUUGACAGAGAUUAUAGAAGUAGCAUUGGCAACUACUACUUAUGAACCAAAUAAUAGGCAAACAAAAAUAAUUCCGCAAGACUUUCUUGACAAAAUCAGAGGAAAAAAGGUAAGCGAAAGCAAAAUGACAAAAACAUAGAGCAUGUGAAAGCAAAAAAACAUCUAAACAAACUUGCAAAGGAAAUAGAAAGUAAAAUAAAAGAUCAUAAUAAUAACGAAUUCUCAAAAU